AGGACGAACGCUGGCGGCGUGGAUUAGGCAUGCAAGUCGCGCGACGCAAUGAACUUGUUCAUUGACGGAGCGGCGAACGGGUGAGUAACACGUGAACAAUCUGUCCCUUCAUUCCGGAUAAUUGGUCGAAAGGCCUUGUAAUACGGGGGAGGAUCACUGCGGGGCAUCUCGCGGUGAAGGAAGGUGCAAGUUUACUUGUGCCGUGCAGGGAGGAGUUCGCGGACUAUCAGGUAGUUGGUGGGGUAAUGGCCUACCAAGCCUACGACGGGUAGCUGGU
rnacentral:rRNA from 1 species